CAGUCGCCACGGUAAUACGUAGGGUGCAAGUGUUAAUCGGAAUUACUGGGCGUAAAGCGUGCGCAGGCGGUUAUAUAAGUCAGAUGUGAAAUCCCCGGGCUCAACCUGGGAACUGCAUUUGAGACUGUAUGGCUAGAGUGUGUCAGAGGGGGGUAGAAUUCCACGUGUAGCAGUGAAAUGCGUAGGUAUGUGGAGGAAUACCGAUGGCGAAGGCAGCCCCCUGGGAUAACACUGACGCUCAUGCACGAAAGCGUGGGGAGCAAACAGGAUUAGAUACCCCAGUAGUCCCUGUCUCUUAUAC
rnacentral:rRNA from 1 species